GAGUUUUUGGGUUCAGUAACCUAAAGCUGCUGCUAAAACAUGUUUGUGAAAAUAAACAAGUUUACUGCAAAAGGAAGUCCCUCAAAGCCCUACCAUUCAGACUGAAACCCGAGAUUUGGCAGCGUUACCUGGAAUCACAGUUUUCUGAAGGAAAGCUGGAUUGCAAAAUCCUCUCAGUAUCUUCAGGUACAGGCAACAGCCGAAGAAGCUUAGGAAGAGCCCAAGUCACUGAUGAGGAAAAGGAGGGGGGUGUUCGGAGCAGAUGAGUUGUGUCGUGUCAGUGUGUGCAGAAGAGUCUACUUCUGAUCUACACCCAGGUGGGGUGUUAUUAGGAACAGCUUGGAGCUUUAUAAUUGGGGGGUUGGGGGUGCAUUUUUCCCAGGGCCAAGCUCUGGAAUAUAGUCUCUGCACCAGAAUGGUGUUGCUGCAACAGCGCAAAAUGACUGAAGUUGAGAGGAACCAGCCUCGAGACAUGAGCGUUAAACUCUGGUGCCUGUUUUGUGCGGAACUGCCUUUUCCAGGCGCCCUGAGCUUCUGGCUGAGCCUGGCCUGAGGCUUUCAGGAGGGGUCACGGUUUCAGUGUAAGGACAUCCUUGGGGCAGUACCUGGAUGGCUGGCAGAGGCCCCUGUGAAGAGCAGGUUGUAGGGGGCCAGGCAGCCCCCUCCCUCAGCCUCAGUGGAGCCUUGCUGCCAGCCAGCAUCACUGAACCUGGGAGGAGUCUGAUUCUCUGCGCUGUGUUUGGCGGUGGGUCCCAAGGCGGGUGCGUGGAAUGUGUCUGGGCUCACACUGCAGGAGUGUUCACAGGCUGCUCAGUUACGAGGCUGCUGGGAAGAUGCUUGGGAGCCUGGGGGCGGGGGGGAAGCUCCUGGCAGAUCUGAGCUGGGUGGCAGGACAGCCUCUUGGUGUUGCUGGCACAGUGGUUCCCCUGCUUCUGCCUCCUGACUGGCUCCUUUGUGACAGUUUUUCUUAAUCAUCCGCCACCAGUGGAAAAAGAUCACACGGUGGGAGGAUUGGGCCUCGCUAUUAAUUUUUUUUCUUCUAAAUGGCUUUUGAAAGCGUGGAAAGGGGGGCUCCCUGUUUCUGUCGGUUGCCCUUGAAGACCGCAGCUGGCGGGGCCACCCCAGGGUCUUGACGCAGCUACAGGAACAACAGCAAGGUGCCUUGGGGCCAGAGAGGCCCCUUCGUGCUUCAUGAAAUAAAUCUCAGACCCUGGUGUGGUUCUGGCCACCUGAGGCCCGUCGGUGCCUGGAUUUGGAGGUGGGAAGCUCACACGUUGACCCAUUUUUUCUGGGGAUGCCCUCCCCACCCCCUGCCUGCUCUAGAGUUGUCUCUGAGGCUCCCAUAUGCGGGGUCACUGUUUCUUUAACACAAUCCAAUUCCAAAUGGUGAAAUUGGGUGGGGACUGUUCUGGAAUUCCUCUUGGUCUCUGCUUUUGAAGCUCCACCUUUUUGUCUUUGAAGUCCAGUGUUUCCACUAAGCAGGAUCCAGCCAGUGUGUUGCUGAGGCCUCUGCUGGCAAGGGCUCUGCCAGUCGUUGGCAUCUCCUGGUUCCUUGGAUGCCUCCGCUGCUCUGGACGCCGACUGACCGGUGGUUCCUCAGCGUGGAAGCUGGAACCAAGAGAAGCUACAACUGACCCUCGAACAACAUGGAGGUCGGGGGUGCCGACACCUCCCCCCCACUCCCAACCCCACACAGCCGAAAAUUGGAAUCUAAUCCCCAGAUUUAACAGCUAGCCUGCUGUUGACCUGCUGACAUAAACAGUUGAUUGUUAUAUGCAUAUCUACAUAUAUUUUAUGCGUUCAAGACAUACCUCAUUUUUUGUCUUAUUUUUCGCUCUUUCUAGGCUAUGCGAUUUGUCUGUUUUUUUCAAAUGAUAGCAAAUCUACAAAAAAAUUCUAAUAUAUUUAAAAAAAAAUCCGUGUAUAAGUGGACCCGUGAAGUGCCAACCUGUGUUGUUCAAGAGCCUCUGUAUGUCCCUCCCUCUUCUCCUGAAAGUGACUUCCAUGUGAUGCUACAGGUGGGAUGGUUAUCCACAUCCAGUUUGUCACUUAGGCCUUCAGAUUUAAGUCCAGGUUCAGCCCUGGAGAGGGGACCAUCCAGGCUCUUUGACCACAAGGUACAUUUCAGAGGCUUCAUGGUAUUGGGCUUAAGAGCAUGGACUCAGGGACUGGUCAGCCUGAGUGUGUGCCAACUUUGCCACUGACCAGCUGUGUGUCAUUGGGCAAGCUGACAUCUCUGUGCCUUGGUUUUCUCAUCCACAGAAUGGUCAUAAUAGCAGUUCCUAUCUUACAGGACUGCUUGUGGGAAUUACAUAAAUAGCUUAUGGGAAGCACCCAGCACAGUGCCUGGUCCACAGGAAGCACUGGGUGCUGGGUGUUACCACUGUUUCAUAUUCCUCUCCAGACCUUGUGUCUUCCCAAUAUAAUUCCACAUUCCUUGAGGUCAGGGGAUGAUGGAUUGACUUAGAGAGUUCCAGUAACUCCUGACAUGGUCUUCUUGGGGACACUUGAGAUACUUAAUAUCACAUGUGUGUUGAGUUCCACCUGUGUGCGAGGCUCUUUCAUAUGCAUUCUUUUUUUUAAACUGUCACCAACCACCACAUGAGAAAAAAAAUCUGUUAUUCUUGUUGUAUAGAGGAAAGCACUUGGAGUUCAAAGGCGGAGAAGUCUAGCCCAGGUCACACAGUAGACAACAAAGCAGAGGCCUUUCACACUUUUUCUCUGUGCCCAACAAUUUGCAGGAAAAUAUCCAACAUGAAUAGCGUGUUUGGGUUUGGGUUUGGGUUUGGGUCUGCUCAGUAGCAGGUGCCAAGACAUGAUUAGACUUGUAAGCCAUAAGCUGGGGGGAGAAGGUGCUUGAAGAACAAGGUGAGGGGGGGGGAGCAGGGGAAGGCAGCGGAGCCUUCAGACCCUGUGCAGACAGGAGGGGGUUUUGGGUGGGGAGAGCCUCUGCAGCGCAAGCUAAGGAAGGUGUGACCAGGCUGCCUGGAACCCUCGGGAGCUCUCUGUCUUGCAGGAAUGGCCUCAGGUGCCCUCGGUGCCUUGUCCCUGGGCAGAGCAGCCUCAGGAAGCAUGGCUUUGAUGGGGACACAGUGGGUGGGAUCACUUAUGCUCCCUGCGGCCAGAGGGCCAAGCAGCACGUUGUCGUGGCGCCAUCUGCCCUGACAGAUGAGUGUGGUGUCUGGCCGGUCAGAUGGCAGGACUCCAGACCAGGGUCCCCACGCUCUUGGUGGCCCAGGAUCGGCUUCUGGGUUCAGUGCCUUUUGUUGACUAAGUUACCAGGCUGCAUUAUUUGCCUGUGACUCAUGUCUCCCUGAGAGAUACUGAGAGUGAAAGUUGUCCUAAGGUGGGUGAGUGUGAAAGUUUGAGCUCAGUGAAGAGGCCAGGACUUGCUCUGCGGGAGAGGCGCCCAUAGGGCCGGGCUCUGUGGAGGUGUCUGACCUUCAGAGCCGAGGUGGGUGCUGUUUCUCAUGAAGGCCCCUCCAGGCAGGGUUCUCGGUCCUUUCUACUUUAAAGGCGUGGGUGGCACCUUUUCAGCUCAUCUCGUUAUGGUGGAACAGAAGUGUUUCUUCAGUUACCCCCAUACUGUUAUUAAUACUCUCUUCUGUUAUUCCACCCAAGCUGGCUACCAUGUUUUACAUUUGAGAGGCGAACAGAAAGGAUGUGCUGGAUAAAAGCUUGACAAGUUAUGUACUCAGAUGAUGACUUAGAAUCUAGUUCAGCUCCCCAAGAGUUUGAAUACGGUAACUAGUUAUUUUUCUCAUCUUUUUUUUUUUUUUGCUAUUUCUUUGGGCCGCUCCCGCAGCAUAUGGAGGUUCCCAGGCUAGGGAUCGAAUCGGAGCUGUAGCCACUGUCCUACGCCAGAGCCACAGCAACGCGGGAUCUGAGCCGCGUCUGCAACCUACACCACAGCUCACGGCAACGCCGGAUCCUUAACCCACUGAGCAAGGGCAGGGACCGAACCUGCAACCUCAUGGUUCCUAGUCGGAUUCGUUAACCACUGCGCCACGACGGGAACUCCUAUUUUUCUCAUCUUUGAUGCAAGGAAGAAACUUUACCCCUAGGAGAAAAUAAAGCUUGGCGAUUGCAUUGAGAAUCUCCUGUAAAAGGUCCAGGCUUCAGACGUCUCAAAUCCUAUUUUCUCUUUCUAAUCAGCGAACACAUCUUUUUCUUCUUGUUACCUAGGUACUUAGGAAGGCAUUUCUUUUGACAUUUACAUUAGUUAGAAAAAGGCUUUUUUAUUUUCUGGUUUCUAAACAAAAUUCUCACCCUAUACCCUCAAAUCCAAACCUCACCCAUUUCUGGUGGCUUCUUAAAACAAUCUAUUACCUAGAAGACAUCAGGAGGAAAAGCUCUAAAGAAACCCACUUCCUGGCUUGAGCUUUGCCGGCUCACUGUCCAAGUGUGUGUCUGAGUGGCAGGUUGAAUGUGGCGAGACAGAGUCCUCGGACUUGGAGGAAAGGCUCCUGCAUUUGAAUACAGGCUGCCCCUUUAAGAGAGGGGGUGGUCGCCUUUCCCUGCAGCCACCCCCACACAUGUGUACGUGAACACAUGCAGGUGUGAGGAGCCCAGGCAAAAACAAGGGCCUUUCCUCCAGACACUAAAGUGUGUAACUGUCUUGUUCUCAGGCCAAGGCAGACACAAGUGAGCCUCGCUUACGUCUGUCCCAGGUGGGGCCACCUGGCCAACCCAUCGCCAGCCCACCAGGCUUGUGGCCCCAGCUGUCUUGGACAUGGGCUUCCUGCUGUUCUUCUGUUACAACUGAUGCAACCCGUCCCCAGGCCCCAACUCCCAACAUUUGUGGGGAACGCUGGACUCACUCUAGGUCAGCCCUACAUAAUUAUUAGGUGGUGUGUGCUUGGUGAGGAGUAUAAAUGAUUAAGGGGGAAAAAGUGCCUUAGGGGAAAGAGGAUCUAAGUCUGUCUGUGGCCAAGAUUUCCCCAAGCCAUAAAUGUCGGCGAUACUUUCACUUGCAAAGCAGUUUGCAUCUGCUUUUUGUGCGUGUCUCCUUUAAAUUAGAGCAAGCACUUCAGAGUUAUCCCUAAUUUAAAAAGAACUUAACUGGUUAUUCGCAUCUACAGUGUUUAAAACAUCUUGCAUUUAUAUACUUUAACUUUUUUUUUUUUUUUUUUGGUUAACCUCUGGCUUUCUCUUUUUUCGAAGUUGCUGCACAAAAGGCCAAUUUAAUUCUUGGAAGAAUAACUCAAUUUUAUCUGGUGCUUUUGCUGUUUUUUUUUCAACUCCAUCUUUUUUUUUUUUUUUCUUGUUUGUCUCAGGAAAAGUCUGCUUUAAAAAAAUUUCUUUUUUUCUGUAGUUUAAUUAUUCUGUUCAAUUCCAUAGUUGUGUUUUAUAUUGUUCCCCAAUUGUUCUGCACCGUGGUCAUCUCUUUAUGUAUAUACACAUAUAUAUGUAUAUGUAUUUGUAACAAUAAGGACAUAAUCUUCGUAAAGUAGGAAGGAGCGGGGAUAGUGAUUUUCAUUUUAGGGAUAGAUAAACUAAGGCUCAGAGAGGUAAAUGAGCUGCAUGAGAUUGCACAGUCAAUUGGGGAGGAGUUGGGAUCCAAGUUCUGGACACUUGAUUUUCUGUUUGGGGCAUUUCCCACCGGCAUGUAUGUAUUUUGAUUUUACAGGAUACCGUCUGCUGCCAUCUCUCCGUCAGUAUGUCCAAUGCCUGACACAUUUGCUUGUUGGUUUAAAUUUUUUGAAAUGCUUCCUACUUUCUUUUGGUCUAAUGUGUCAGAGGCAGGGACUUGGUGUCCAGGCUGGUUUUAAUUGUUUUCUAACUUAUUUACAUUGUUAGGUCCUGGCUGUUUCGGCAGUAUGUUAAGCGCAAGGUCACGAAGGUGUCGUCGAGUGGGUUUUUCAAGCACAGGUUAGAAUGUUGUGUGUGGUCCUGAGUGGACUUAUUGGAACUGAGGUCCCCGAUGGCUGCCUUCGAUUUCCUAGCCAUGGAUAGAGGACCAUGUGCAUAGAACAUGUUGGUCUGUAGUGAUUCGCUGAACUAAGGCUUCCUUGAUCAGUUAUAGGACGUACCGCAUAUGGAUCGUGUUGGGGUUUACGUGAGACUGGGUUGAGUUGGGGCCACAGCAGGGCCAUAGCUCCGAGGAAAUGGGAAAAGGCACAUCAAGCAGACCAUCCUCUUCCUCCUUUUGAAAAUCUUCAGUGCUUCGGAUGCCAAACGAUCCAGCAAUACAAUUUCUUGACUGAUUCAUCCCCACUCAGAAGAUAGUGCAGCUCCUGUUGGGUUUGGCCCUGAGGGCAAGAAACUGUCAGGAUGCUUUCUGUUCCAUUUGUCAUUAAAGGUCAUUUCCUCAGGACUGGACGGCAUGAGAAGGACUUCGGGAUCUUUUGUGGAUGAUCAUUGAGAAGGUGUUGAAGGCAGAGGGUGAUGCUUAGAUUCUAGGGUCACCCACCCCACCCACAAAGGUGGGCACUCCUGCAGUAGUUUGAAAAAAAAGAUACACUUGUGAACAGAUGGGUCAUUUCUGGAGUCGAGUGUUCUGUUUUUGCCAUCAUCGUUUGGCUGUGGGUAGAGACACCUGGGGGAAGGGAGGGGCCAGUCAGUCCCGUUCCUCUGUUUUAGGACCACCUGUCAGAUGUGUACUAUGGGGGCAGAGUGAGCCCUGUUGCAAGGGUGACCAACCAUGAGAGUUUCAUAGGUUAAAAUAAAUGUGGUGUCCUGCCCACACCGAGGUCUUUGAUUUGACUUUGAGAGUCGAGCUACAGAGAUUAGAUGCUCAAAGUAGCAAAUGAAUCCCCAAAGGACAGGAGGUGGGGCCGUUUUUAUUUUGGGGCACAUGUUGAUGAAACAUAGCCUGGGAGUCACCCAUAUUGUUUGGCCCCAAAUAUAGUUUAAUAGAGAGAAGCAGUUUGGGUCGCUUGUACCCUGACACCUUUCUGCAGAGGAUUGUUGGGGUAAUACAGUUCAGUAAAUAUUUACUGAGCACCUGUCCCAGGCCAGGUCCCACGCCUGGCACGGAACACAGAAGGUUCGAUCAGAUGCAGCCUAGGGUGGGAGGGAACUAACAGGUGGAAGGAGUCACCCCACGGCAGACAGCUUUUCGAUUGUGUUUGCUGGUGAGGCACUGUGCUAGGCUUUGGGUGACAGCAGUGAAAACUCACAGUCCCCGCCCUUGGAGUGUGUGUUCUAGUGAUGAGAGAGAUUUACGGAGAGCAGGCUGCUAGGCUUGGUCUUGAUGUGCACACAGACGAUGGGGGUGCUGACCGAGACAGCCACUGCCUUGGGCUCUGCUCCUGUGUGGUUGCCUCACGCUGGGCACAGGCGACAGAGUGAGAACUUGAAGCUGAACUGGAAAGGGGUCCCCACCCUGAGCCUGGUUGACCAGCUGUAAAUUCACUGCUGUGGCAGGCAACCCCCGAGCCUGGAGAAUGAGAAGAAAGAUGCUGACAUCUUUUUUCUCAUUCUGGGAACAGUUAUGAUCCAGGGCACUUGAUUCAAAUCCUGUCCUGGCCUUUUGCUUUUUCCAUUUACCUGAGCUGCUCUCUUCUUAGCCUCUAAGCCAGGGGGCCAAAAAACGGGGGCGUUUUUAAAAUCACCCCUCAAGGAGACAGACAGGAGCCUUCUGGUCCCUAGACAAAGAGAAGGGAAACAACCAGAUGAGUAGGAAUAUACUGGGUGCCUUGCCUUACAAAAAGAGGGAGUGGUUAUUAGCCCUGGACUUGAACUACUUUGAGGGUCCCCUCUGGAGGGAAACGUCCUUGUGUGACUAGCUCUGCUGGCCUGGGGUCCCUUCAGAUGCCCCCGAUAACUGAGGUUGUGUCAUACAUAGUCUUUGAGUGGGACCAUCAGUGUUGUACUGAGAAUUUUUGUCUUCCCCAGAAGCUGAGAACAAAGCCGUCAGAGGAAACUCCCCGCUGCAGCCUGGGGGAGCGGGCAGGGGUGGGGGGCGUGUGAGUGUGUGUGUGUGUGUGUGUGUGUGUGUGUGUGUGUGUGUGUGUGUGAGUUAGAGUUCGCUGAACCCAUGGACAAUUUCUGAGGCAGUCCUCACCUGACCUCUGAGAACUUCCUGGCUGGCGAGUUGAUUCCUUCCAAAGCGAUGAGGCUUUCCGUUCUUAGUUUGGGUGCCUGCCUGUAGGUGGGGACGGGAUCCUGGGAGAGAGGAAUGCUAUGACCAAAAGAACAUCUGACCUCGGUGUCCUUGUUAGAUUCCCCCUAGGACGGUACUGCUUCUCCCUUGCAAAUCAGGGCUCUCUGCUAUAGAUGGUGCCUAUGAGCUUUGACUUCGGGUUGGAAAUGACAAAGACAUUCCUUGGUUCAUACCUUUCUUCCUUUGGAAGGCAAAAAUAACGACUUCGUUUGUUCAGGCAAAAAAAAAAAAAAAAA